GAUGAACGCUGGCGGCGUGCCUAACACAUGCAAGUCGAACGGAAAGGCCCUGCUUUUGUGGGGUGCUCGAGUGGCGAACGCGUGAGUAACACGCGAGUAUCCUGCACUUGAAUGUGGGAUAUAUUCAGGAAACUGGGGCUAAUAUCCGAUAGGAGCUCCUGCUGCACGGUGUGCGUUGGAAAGUUUCGGCGGUUGGGGAUGGACUCGCGGCUUAUCAGCUUGUUGGUGGGGUAGGGGCUUACCAAGGCUUUGACGGGUAGCCGGCCUGGGAGGGGGACCGGCCACAUUGGGACUAAGAGACGGCCCAGACUCCUACGGGACGCAACAGUGGGAAAUAUUGCAGAAUGAGCGGAAGCCUGAUGCAGAAACGCCGCGUGCGGGAUAACGGCCUUCUGGUUGUAAACCACUUUCGCCUGUGACGAAGCGUGAGUGACGGUAAUGGGUAAAGAAGCACCGGCUAACUACGUG
rnacentral:rRNA from 1 species